rnacentral:rRNA from 1 species
UACGUAGGCAGCGAGCGUUGUUCGGAAUUACUGGGCGUAAAGAGUGUGUAGGCGGUGCUCCCAGUCUGUUGUGAAAUCUCCCGGCUUAACUGGGAGGGUGCAGCGGGAACUAGAGUGCUAGAGGGUGGGAGAGGUAAGCGGAAUUCCUGGUGUAGCGGUGAAAUGCGUAGAUAUCAGGAGGAACACCUGUGGCGAAGGCGGUUCUCUGGGCAUGUUCUGACGCUGAGGAGCGAAAGUGUGGGGAGCGAACAGG